GAUGAACGCUAGCGGCAGGCCUAACACAUGCAAGUCGAGCGGUAGAAGGAGCUUGCUUCUUUGAGACCGGCGCACGGGUGCGUAACGCGUAUGCAAUCUACCUUGUACAGGGGAAUAGCCCAGAGAAAUUUGGAUUAAUGCCCCAUAGUAUAUAACCUUCGCAUGUUGGUUAUCUUAAAGUUCCAACGGUACAAGAUGAGCAUGCAUCCCAUUAGUUAGUUGGUAAGGUAACGGCUUAGCAAGACGAUGAAGGGUAGCUGUCCUGAUGGGGAGCUCCACCGCACUGGAGCUAAGGCACGGACCAGUAUGGGACGGGAGGGAGGAGUAAGGAAUAUUAGGGAAUGAACGCAAGACUGGACCAGCCGCGCGGAGUACAGGAGGACGGUCCUAGGGAAUGUAAGCUACUUGUAAAGAGGAAGAAACCCUCACACGGGUGGGAGAUUGACGGUACUGUAGGAAUAAGGACCGGCUAACUCCGUG
rnacentral:rRNA from 1 species